AGAGUUUGAUUCUGGCUCAGGAUGAACGCUAGCUACAGGCUUAACACAUGCAAGUCGAGGGGCAGCAUGAUCGAAGCUUGCUUGAUGAUGGCGACCGGCGCACGGGUGAGUAACGCGUAUCCAACCUUCCCUAUAGUAGAGGAUAGCCCGGCGAAAGUCGGAUUAAUACUCCAUGUUUUCCAAUGCAGACAUCUAAGUUGGAACAAAGGUUCACCGCUAUAGGAUGGGGAUGCGUCUGAUUAGGUAGUCGGCGGGGUAACGGCCCACCGAGCCUACGAUCAGUAGGGGUUCUGAGAGGAAGGUCCCCCACAUUGGAACUGAGACACGGUCCAAACUCCUACGGGAGGCAGCAGUGAGGAAUAUUGGUCAAUGGGCGAGAGCCUGAACCAGCCAAAGUAGCGUGCAGGAUGACGGCCCUAUGGGUUGUAAACUGCUUUUAUACGGGGAUAAAGUGAGGGACGUGUCCCUUUUUGUAGGUACCGUAUGAAUAAGGACCGGCUAAUUCCGUGCCAGCCGCCGC
rnacentral:rRNA from 1 species